AUUAUUUCUGAUGACUUAAAGGUAGGCAGACAAUGUAAUAGAGCAGCAGGAAAUGCUAGCAGAAUGCUUGGUUGUAUAGGGAGAGGUAUUAGCAGUAGAAAGAGGGAAGUGCUCAUGCCAUUGUACAGAACACUGGUGAGACCUCACUUGGAGUAUUCUACACAGUACUGGAGACCGUAUCUUCAGAAGGAUAUUGAUACCUUAGAGAGGGUUCAGAGAAGGGCUACUAAACUGGUUCAUGGAUUGCGGGAUAAAA